AGCGGCAGGCUUAACACAUGCAAGUCGAGGGGCAUCGGGGAGGAAGCUUGCUUUCUCCGCCGGCGACCGGCGCACGGGUGAGUAACACGUAUGCAACCUGCCCCUGUCAGGGGGACAACCCGCCGAAAGGCGGGCUAAACCCGCGUACAUGCCACCGGGGCAUCCCGGAGGCAGGAAAGGCUUCGGCCGGACAGGGAUGGGCAUGCGGCGCAUUAGGCAGUAGGCGGGGUAACGGCCCACCUAACCGACGAUGCGUAGGGGUUCUGAGAGGAAGGUCCCCCACACUGGUACUGAGACACGGACCAGACUCCUACGGGAGGCAGCAGUGAGGAAUAUUGGUCAAUGGUCGGGAGACUGAACCAGCCAAGCCGCGUGAGGGAGGAAGGUACAGAGUAUCGUAAACCUCUUUUGUCAGGGAACAAAGACUGGGACGCGUCCCCGGAUGAGUGUACCUGAAGAAAAAGCAUCGGCUAACUCCGUGCCAGCAGCCGCGGUAAUACGGAGGAUGCGAGCGUUAUCCGGAUUUAUUGGGUUUAAAGGGUGCGCAGGCGGUCUGUUAAGUCAGCGGUCAAAGCCCGGGGCUCAACCCCGGCCCGCCGUUGAAACUGGCAGUCUCGAGUUGGAGAGAAGUAUGCGGAAUGCGCGGUGUAGCGGUGAAAUGCAUAGAUAUCGCGCAGAACUCCGACUGCGAAGGCAGCAUGCCGGCUCCACACUGACGCUGAGGCACGAAAGCGUGGGUAUCGAACAGGAUUAGAUACCCUGGUAGUCCACGCAGUAAACGAUGAAUGCUGGCUGUCCGGGGGGACUGACCCCUGGGUGGCGAAGCGAAAGCGAUAAGCAUUCCACCUGGGGAGUACGCCGGCAACGGUGAAACUCAAAGGAAUUGACGGGGGCCCGCACAAGCGGAGGAACAUGUGGUUUAAUUCGAUGAUACGCGAGGAACCUUACCCGGGCUCAAACGGGGAGUGCCGCAGGCAGAGACGCCUGUUUCCCACGGGACACUCCCCGAGGUGCUGCAUGGUUGUCGUCAGCUCGUGCCGUGAGGUGUCGGCCUAAGUGCCAUAACGAGCGCAACCCCCGCGUGCAGUUGCUAACAGAUAACGCUGAGGACUCUGCACGGACUGCCGGCGCAAGCCGCGAGGAAGGCGGGGAUGACGUCAAAUCAGCACGGCCCUUACGUCCGGGGCGACACACGUGUUACAAUGGGUGGUACAGCGGGAAGCCAGGCGGCGACGCCGAGCGGAACCCGAAAUCCACUCUCAGUUCGGAUCGGAGUCUGCAACCCGACUCCGUGAAGCUGGAUUCGCUAGUAAUCGCGCAUCAGCCAUGGCGCGGUGAAUACGUUCCCGGGCCUUGC
rnacentral:rRNA from 1 species